CCCUUAACUAUUAAAAGUUUCGUUUUGGUCCCUUAACUUAUUUUUAGGUUUUGUUUUGGUCCCUUAACUCUUCCUUCGUCAACCACUUUGGUCCUUUAUGCUAGGAUGAAUGUAUUAGAGUUAAGGGACCAAAACGAAACCAAAAAAUAAUUUAAGGGACCAAAACGAAACCAAAAAAUAAGUUAAGGGAUCAAAACAAAACUUUUAAUAGUUAAGGGACCAAAACGAAACCAAAAAAUAAGUUAAGGGACCAAAACGAAACUUUUAAUAGUUAAGGGA
rnacentral:pre_miRNA from 1 species